rnacentral:rRNA from 1 species
CACGUAGGGUGCGAGCGUUGCCCGGAAUCAUUGGGCGUAAAGAGCUCGUAGGCGGUCUGUCACGUCGGCUGUGAAAACCCGAGGCUCAACCUCGGGCCUGCAGUCGAUACGGGCAAACUAGAGUACUGCAGGGGAGACUGGAAUUCCUGGUGUAGCGGUGAAAUGCGUAGAUAUCGGAAGGAACACCGGUGGCGAAAGCGGCGCGCUGGACCUCUUCUGACGCUGAGGCGCGAAAGCCAGGGGAGCGAACGGG